GAUGAACGCUGGCGGCGUGCUUAACACAUGCAAGUCGAACGAGAAGUGAAGACGGAAACCUUCGGGCGGAAGGCUUUAUUUCGAGUGGCGGACGGGUGAGUAACGCGUGGGUAACCUGCCUCAUACAGGGGGGUAAAAGUUGGAAACGACUGUUAAUACCGCAUAAGACCACAGCACCGCAUGGUGCGGGGGUAAAAACUCCGGUUGUAUGAGAUGGACCCGCGUUCGAUUAGCCAGUUGGCGGGGUAACGGCCCACCAAAGCGACGAUCGAUAGCCGAUCUGAGAGGAUGACCGGCCACAUUGGGACUGAGACACGGCCCAAACUCCUACGGGAGGCAGCAGUGGGGAAUAUUGCACAAUGGGGGAAACCCUGAUGCAGCGACGCCGCGUGAGUGAAGAAGUAUUUCGGUAUGUAAAGCUCUAUCAGCAGGGAAUAAAAUGACGGUACCUGAGGAAGAAGCCCCGGCUAACUACGUG
rnacentral:rRNA from 1 species